rnacentral:tRNA from 1 species
GCCGCUGUGGCGGAAUUGGUAGACGCGCGCGACUCAAAAUCGCGUAUCGAAAGGUGUACCGGUUCGACUCCGGUCAGCGGUA